UCCAGACUCCUACGGGAGGCAGCAGUGGGGAAUAUUGGGCAAUGGGGGAAACCCUGACCCAGCGACGCCGCGUGAGGGAAGAAGGUUUUCGGAUUGUAAACCUCUGUCCUUGGUGACGAUAAUGACGGUAGCCAAGGAGGAAGCCACGGCUAACUACGUGCCAGCAGCCGCGGUAAUACGUAGGUGGCGAGCGUUGUCCGGAAUUACUGGGUGUAAAGGGAGCGUAGGCGGGAGAGCAAGUCGACUGUGAAAUCUAUGGGCUUAACCCAUAGCUGCGAUCGAAACUGUUCAUCUUGAGUGAAGUAGAGGCAGGCGGAAUUCCUGGUGUAGCGGUGAAAUGCGUAGAUAUCAGGAGGAACACCGGUGGCGAAGGCGGCCUGCUGGACUGCGACUGACGUUGAGGCCCGGAAGCGUGGGGAGCAAACAGGAUUAGAUACCCCCGUAC
rnacentral:rRNA from 1 species